rnacentral:lncRNA from 1 species
GCUGGGCUGCGUCUGCGUGGGGCGCCCGUGAUGUCCUUGUUGCUGUCGGCGUGGCGGUGCCCGGCGUACUACCGACGACCGAUGUGACGCCUCAACCGUCACCACCGUCGUCCUCGCAUCGCCUCUCUCUCUCUCUCUUUCGAUCGUCCUGGCGGUGGUUAACGUGGUCACGAGCCGCGACUUCGCUCGUCGGAUUCUGUCGGUCCCCGCGCGAGCCUUCUAUGAGUGUGUAUGACCGCGUCGGAAUCGGUCACCACCGUACUUGCACGUAAGCUGUUUGUGGAAUUGUCCGCCCGAAUGUAGUACCUUUAUUUCGUUUACUGUGGCAACUCAUAGAAGCGCACACACCCUCUCCACGAAACCAGAGCGGAUAAAGCGAAGAGCCGCAAGCCUUAUGGUUUCAAGAUCUGGAUCUCUUUUCCACGCGUCGAUUUGACUUCGCUAUGGUCCUCAUGAGAUUGGAUGCGUCCAAGGUUGCCGGACCACCUGCAAGUAGCGUGUAACUUGGUUAGCCGAUCACUGAUCUCAACAAAAGCAUAUGAUGUUAGUACUGUGCUUUCACAUAGGUCCAACAAGUUAGGUCACACGGCCAUUGAUGUGGACCUGCUUUUCGGAGAAGUUACAUUUAAUUUAUAAUUGACAUUACAUGGUAGAAUUCUGUGGUAAUGUUGAAAUUUGUGAUUACGUUCGAUCAUGGGAUCGAUCGAUGUGAUGGGGACAUUCACGGCAAGAUUCUAGUGGAGUUGACACGAGCAAUUGGCGUCGAGGUGAGUCACUGCAGACGUGACUCACGUGAUUGAACCGCGGGGUCAAUUUGAUGUGGUCUCGGAAGCGCAUGCGGCAGCCACCAAAAGAGCCGCUUUCAUGUCUUGAACGGGACCAGAGAUGAGUCAAGUCGGAAUCAUGUGUUAUACCUGCGUAAUUUCCUUUUGUUUUACAUGUAUAUGUAUGUAUGCUGGUAAAAUCUAAAAACUCAAGUGUGUAUGUAGUCAUUAUCUAACUUCGAUUUAACUAUUAGUUGUGAUUUUAAAAAAUAUAUAUUAAUUUUAGAAAGUUCUGUUAGAAAAAAUAAAUGUAUUAUAUUACAAUUUUGUAAGGAUAAAUAUAUAGGACAUCCCAUAUAUAUAAUCCUAAAAUUUACCAUUUGUCUCUCCUCUCUAUAUCUACCCAUUACCAUGUUUCGUAUAUAAAAUCGUACCUCCAUCGUUGAGUCUCUUCGUCCUUCUUCCUACUAAUCUCUCUCUCUCUCUCUCCUAAACUUGUUUCUUCGCUAUCUAUAUAUAUAUAUCUCAGUCUGAGAUUGAACAGAGACAGGAGAGGGAAGGGGGAUCCAAGAUCUGAGAAGCGUACAUGGACGAGGAGUGGAAGCUGUCGAAGGAGAGAGGAAGAAUGGUGGUGGUGGCAGAGAGAGCAGGGUCCUUCCUGAAGGGGUCCACCAGCGCAAGGGAAGGGCGGCGGCGGAGGCGGCGGUCGACGCCCAGGUCGUUUACGAGCCGGUGCGUGCGUCUAGUCAAGGAGCAGCGAGGCAGGUUCUACAUCAUGCGCCGCUGUGUCACCAUGCUCAUUUGCUGGCGAGAUUACCCUUGACAUGUAGCAGUAGGAGUAGUAGGAUAAAUAUGUAUACACUUGUGAUCUUUCUCUUGGCAACAACAGGAAUCGAAGAAAGGAAAAGUAGCAGCCAAAAUAUAUAGACUAUUAACAUGCGUUCUUCUCUGUUCAUACUCUUCACCUUUGCUUUGGUCUGACUUUGGAUGGAUUUCUGAGGCAGCUGUGGUUGUUGUUCGUUACUCCGUUUC